AUAAGUUUAAAAUUAUUAUUAUACUAAAUCAAUAAUAAUUAUCAAUAAGUUUUAAAAUUACUUAUCAUAAUAUCUUCAAAAUUUAAGUUUGGAAAAUGCGAGAGUUAACAAGUCCACGGGAUGAAGGACACGUUGAUCGAUGGUUUCUAUUUACAGCUAAGUGAUCCACAUCCACUAACUGUCGGCCGAAGUUACACCGUAAACAUAAGCAUAAGUAGAAACAAGGAAUCACUAUAACUUUUGGCCUAUUCAAAAGGUAAACAGCACAUACUCCAGCAUUUCCUUCUGCCACCUCAUCAUCGUCAAAGCUGUUUUCUAUUCUUUCGUAGACACCGCCAUCACCAUUUACUGGUACCAUUGCACCGUCAUCUGCAAUUAUACGUAUAAUAGAAAAUAAUCUUAACGAAUAUAAUAAUACAGUAAAACCUUGAUUUAGUGCGGUAAUUCUGUUUCAGUUUUCCUUUAACAUGAACAAUAAUGACAACCUGCAAAACUGAUUCGAGGCUUUACGAUGACGGUUCGAUGGUACCAGCAAAUAAGGAUGGCGGUGUCUACGAAAGAAUAGAAGCUGGAGUAUAUGCUAUUUGCCUAUCGAACAAGCCAAAAAUUAGAGUGAUUCCUUGCUUCUACUUAUGUUUAUGUUUACGGUGUGAGUUCGGCCGACAGUUAAUAGAUACGGAUCGGUUAGCUGUAACUAGGAACCAUCGACCAACGUGUCCUGUAUGCCGUGGACGUUGACUCUACAAGAGAAGUGUACAUAUCAUAAUUCCCCACAAAAGCAAGCGAAAAAUUUUGAGUGAUAUUACUAUUAGAUUUAAAAUAAUUAUCAAUAAGAUAAAAAAAAAUGAUUACUUAAAAAACAACUUAUUACUUACUCCCUCGCAUUUCCCAUAUUUUGAAAAUAUUGUAAUGAGUAAUUUUAUAACUUAUUUAUAGUUUUUAUAAAUUUAAUAGAACAAUGAGUUUAAUCAUAUAAAAUUUUUUACAUUCAACUUACUAUCAUUUUUUAAAUUCUUAAUCUAUAAAUAUUUUUA